CAAGUCCCCGAGGAGCAGCUCCGAGGCCCGAGCGCGCGGCUGAGAGGCGCCGCCGCCGCCGCCGCCGCCGGGAUGCGCUCUGCCUAGCGAGACUGCCGAGAGACGCCUGAAGGCCACCGCGCCAAGGACACGCGGCCCGCCGCUCCUCGCGCGCCCGAGCCCGCACGCCGCCAGUGCCGGAGCCGCGGAGAGCGCGAGCGAAGGGCGGCAGGAGGGAGAGCGCGCGGGAGGCAGCCCCUCCUCAGCGAGCCAUGCGUGCCGCGAGCAGCUGAGGAGCCGCCAGGCGCCGCUGCCAAGUCUCCGCUCCGCUUUUGUCUUGCCCUCCAGUGAAUGGGAAGAUGGAGAUGGAUGUGGAGGGAGUUUCUCCGCGCCCGGAGCCCAUCCCCCGCUCCCAGGGGGCUGGCGGAGCCUGCCCGGCGCCGCCACCGCCGCCCCAGCCCCAGCCCCAGCCGCCGCCGCCGCCGCAGCAGCUGGCUCAGGAUGAACUGCCCGGCGAGAGUGCCGGCGCCGAGGACAGCGACGAUCCCGAGGCGAGAGCCAGCGGCGAGCGAGGAGAGGGCAAGAACUUUGAGACCUCUGGGCGGUCUUAGAAUCACCUCAAGCCUCCAGUCCAGGAUACGCCUGCCUAGGGGAGUUCCAGGGACAGGUGGCAGACAUCACAGCCUGCGAGGCGAUGGGUACCGCAAUGAGCUCACCACAAAUCUCCAAGACUCCAAGCCACUCUCUGUUCCCAAGCAUAAAGCUAUGCUUCUGGAGGGGCAGCAAGAAACAACCUGGGACCAGGUGAGGACCCAUGCACGUCCCUGUCCUCCUCCACCCCAUCACUCUUUAGCUGUCUGUUUUUUUUCCCCUUGGUUGAUGGAACUUUCUAUGCGUGUCCUCCCACAGGCUCCACUUCUUGGCAAGAGGACAGAGCAUCUUCUCGGGUGUCCAGGGGGCUGCUGA
rnacentral:lncRNA from 1 species